rnacentral:rRNA from 1 species
CGCGGCCUAUCAGCUUGUUGGUGGGGUAGUGGCUUACCAAGGCUUUGACGGGUAGCCGGCCUGAGAGGGUGACCGGCCACAUUGGGACUGAGAUACGGCCCAGACUCCUACGGGAGGCAGCAGUGGGGAAUAUUGCACAAUGGGCGGAAGCCUGAUGCAGCAACGCCGCGUGCGGGAUGACGGCCUUCGGGUUGUAAACCGCUUUCGCCUGUGACGAAGCGUGAGUGGCGGUAAUGGGUAAAGAAGCACCGGCUAACUACGUGUCAGCAGCCGCGGUGAUACGUAGGGUGCGAGCGUUGUCCGGAUUUAUUGGGCGUAAAGGGCUCGUAGGUGGUUGAUCGCGUCGGAAGUGUAAUCUUGGGGCUUAACCCUGAGCGUGCUUUCGAUACGGGUUGACUUGAGGAAGGUAGGGGAGAAUGGAAUUCCUGGUGGAGCGGUGGAAUGCGCAGAUAUCAGGAGGAACACCAGUGGCGAAGGCGGUUCUCUGGGCCUUUCCUGACGCCGAGGAGCGAAAGCGUGGGGAGCGAACAGGCUUAGAUACCCUGGUAGUCCACGCUGUAAACGGUGGGCACUAGGUGUGGGGUCCAUUCCACGGGUUCCGCGCCGUAGCUAACGCUUUAAGUUCCCCGCCUGGGGAGUACGG